UUCCCCUCAGGAUGGCACCUGGAGAGUUUUCAGUACUUUACCAGUUUCAGCUCUGGGAGGGAGAGCCAGGUAGAGGCAUGUCCAUUCAAUUCCUAGCUUGGGAAGUGGCUAGUGAGUGGAAGGCAAUCUGCUACAAGU